rnacentral:rRNA from 1 species
CUACGGCCGCUGCAGUGGGGAAUAUUGCUCAAUGGAGGAAACUCUGAUGCAGCAACGCCGCGUGGAGGAUGACACUUUUCGGAGCGUAAACUCCUUUUAUAUAGGAAGAAGAUGACGGUACUAUAUGAAUAAGCGCCGGCUAACUCCGUGCCAGCAGCCGCGGUAAUACGGAGGGCGCAAGCGUUACUCGGAAUCACUGGGCGUAAAGAGCGUGUAGGCGGAUUAAAAAGUCAGAAGUGAAAUCCUAUAGCUUAACUAUAGAACUGCUUCUGAAACUCUUAAUCUAGAAUGUGGGAGAGGUAGAUGGAAUUUCUGGUGUAGGGGUAAAAUCCGUAGAGAUCAGAAGGAAUACCGAUUGCGAAGGCGAUCUACUAGAACAUUAUUGACGCUGAGACGCGAAAGCGUGGGGAGCAAACAGGAUUAGAUACCCCAGUAGUC